rnacentral:rRNA from 1 species
GUGCCAGCAGCCGCGGUAAUACGUAGGUGGCAAGCGUUGUCCGGAUUUAUUGGGCGUAAAGCGAGCGCAGGCGGUUUCUUAAGUCUGAUGUGAAAGCCUUCGGCUCAACCGAAGAAGUGCAUCGGAAACUGGAAACUUGAGUGCAGAAGAGGACAGUGGAACUCCAUGUGUAGCGGUGAAAUGCGUAGAUAUAUGGAAGAACACCAGUGGCGAAGGCGGCUGUCUGGUCUGUAACUGACGCUGAGGCUCGAAAGCAUGGGUAGCAAACAGGAUUAGGUACCCUGGUAGUCCAUGCCGUAAACGAUGAGUGCUAGGUGUUGGAGGGUUUCCGCCCUUCAGUGCCGCAGCUAACGCAUUAAGCACUCCGCCUGGGGAGUACGACCGCAAGGUUGAAACUCAAAGGAAUUGACGGGGGCCCGCACAAGCGGUGGAGCAUGUGGUUUAAUUCGAAGCAACGCGAAGAACCUUACCAGGUCUUGACAUCCUUUGACCACUCUAGAGAUAGAGCUUUCCCUUCGGGGACAAAGUGACAGGUGGUGCAUGGUUGUCGUCAGCUCGUGUCGUGAGAUGUUGGGUUAAGUCCCGCAACGAGCGCAACCCUUAUUACUAGUUGCCAGCAUUAAGUUGGGCACUCUAGUGAGACUGCCGGUGACAAACCGGAGGAAGGUGGGGACGACGUCAAAUCAUCAUGCCCCUUAUGACCUGGGCUACACACGUGCUACAAUGGAUGGUACAACGAGUUGCGAGACCGCGAGGUUUAGCUAAUCUCUUAAAACCAUUCUCAGUUCGGAUUGUAGGCUGCAACUCGCCUACAUGAAGCCGGAAUCGCUAGUAAUCGCGGAUCAGCAUGCCGCGGUGAAUACGUUCCCGGGCCUUGCACACACCGCCCGU